rnacentral:tRNA from 1 species
UCUCUGGCAAUCUAGUGGUUAAGACACUGUGCUUACAAUGCAAGAGGUUCAGGUUCAGUUCCUGAUCUGGGAA